GCCGUAGAUGAAUGGUAGGAUAUCUGCCUUGUACUCAGAAGGUCCCAGGUUCAAGCCCUGCCAUCUCCA